rnacentral:rRNA from 1 species
CUUAGUGGCGGACGGGUGAGUAACACGUGAGUAACCUGCCUUUCAGAGUGGAAUAACGUUUGGAAACGAACGCUAAUACCGCAUAACAUGAAAGAACGGCAUCGUUCUUUCAUCAAAGAUUUUAUCGCUGAGAGAUGGGCUCGCGGCCGAUUAGGUAGUUGGUGAGAUAACAGCCCACCAAGCCGACGAUCGGUAGCCGGACUGAGAGGUUGAACGGCCACAUUGGGACUGAGACACGGCCCAGACUCC